rnacentral:lncRNA from 1 species
CAGUCUCCAGGCACCCUGUCUUUGUCUCCAGGGGAAAGAGCCACCCUCUCCUGCAGGGCCAGUCAGAGUCUACUUAGCCUGGUACCAGCAGAAACCUGGCCAGGCUCCCAGGCUCCUCAUCUAUGGUGCAUCCAGCAGGGCCACUGGCAUCCCAGACAGGUUCAGUGGCAGUGGGUCUGGGACAGACUUCACUCUCACCAUCAGCAGACUGGAGCCUGAAGAUUUUGCAGUGUAUUACUGUCAGCAGUAUGGUAGCUCAGUGUGCAGUUUUGGCCAGGGGACCAAGCUGGAGAUCAAACG